ACCACCAGGAGCACCACUUCUACAUCCUCUCUGUAAAUGCCAUGCAGACAAGCUAGUGGCUUGAACCGAGAUACAAAAUUCAACUCCAGUGAAAGGUGUUCAAGUCAGAGUGAAAAUCCAGUCCAUUCAGCUUCCUAAACGUAUCCAUCCGGUAGAGCUCUUUCAGCUACUAAUUAGAAUAUUCCAACUGACAAAGAACCUGGAACUUUCCCUCUUGACACCCAUAUAGCUGUCAGCUGCAUCGCAAAGUAAUGGGAGAUGAGGCUCAAGUGACAGACCUGGAUGCGAAUUCACCACCAUGAGAGGGUCUGAGAUCACAAGCAGGAUCCCACAGAAUCACAGAUACUUUGCAAGCACUUCAAAGGUGUCCAAAACCAAAACUAGCUCAUAAUCAGCCUGCCUCAUGCUUGGCAGAAGAAAAGAAAGGACAGGAGGCUGUGCAAGUCAAGGAGGGAGCAAGUUUGAAAGCGGUAAUCCCUGCUGCAGAGCCUGAAGCUAGAUCUCUUUGAAGCCAGUAACCUACCAAACCAUGGAGGAAUCCUUUUCCCCCCAUUGGCUCUGCUGCUGGACAUCCAGUGACCCUCAGUCUGCUUGGCCUCUUAUGGAAAUGACCAGAGCAAACCACUUCUGAUUAAAUCAAAUCCCUGACUGCUGAACUGACAUACCUUCGCUUGGCAAGGUUGAGAAGGGCAGGGAAGAACGUG